UACGUAUGGAGCAAGCGUUAUCCGGAUUUACUGGGCGUAAAGGGAGCGUAGGCGGCCUGCCAAGUCUGAUGUGAAAUACCGGGGCUCAACCCCGGGGCUGCAUUGGAAACUGGCAGGCUGGAGUGCCGGAGAGGCAGGCGGAAUUCCUAGUGUAGCGGUGAAAUGCGUAGAUAUUAGGAGGAACACCAGUGGCGAAGGCGGCUUACUGGACUGUAACUGACGUUGAGGCUCGAAAGUGUGGGUAUCAAACAGG
rnacentral:rRNA from 1 species